rnacentral:pre_miRNA from 1 species
GCCUUAAUGGCUCUGAUACCCGUGGGGAGGCGCUGGACUCGUCCAGCAAGUCCCACACACGGGUCCCAAGCUGGAAGGC